CUGAGAUUAGGCCUCACGUGCCUCAUCUUAUAUAUAACGCUAGGUAUGUUGUUACGGUUGAAGCCUCUGCAAUUGACGCCUAAACCCUAGCAACUGCGCGACGUCUGAUCCACCAUGGGGGCUUACAAGUACGUCUCUGAGCUAUGGAGG